AUAGACCUUCGAAAGCCUCCACGACCUGCCACGCCCUGUCUCCCCAUCCCUACCUGCCAGAACUCACCGCCACAGCAGACUCUGCUUCAAGUUCUGCCCUUCUCUGUGUUUAAGCCAAAUGGCCCUUCCCUUCAAUUCCAGUGUCAGAGCUGCAUCCUCAUUAGACCUUCCCUGACCACCGGAGCCCACAGUGAUCUCGAAGCAUCGAUCUUUCCUUCCCCUGAACUUCUGUAGCAAUUAUUGCCUACACCACAAAUUCGGGACUGAAUAGUAUGCUGCUGGGGUCAUUGUUCAGCGUUUCGUUGGAAUGCUUCUUGUCUUCCCAAUCGGAUGUUAAGGGCAUGGAGGUCCGAGAUGGGGUGGAUCCUUCUUUGUAUCCAGCGUUGUGGCCACCAAGCACAUGGCCCUUCAUGGAUGAGCAACGAUCUACAUAUGCAAAUAAAUGGCAUGCCAGUCUCCAUGAAUAUUAAUUUGGAAAGAGAGUCUGCGGCCCUCAAAUACACUGAAAACUAACAAUUUGGCAUUUCGCAACUCCUGCAGCCUGCUCCCAGAAUCACAGCCUUAUCAAACAACUCCGUUUCAGAAGUGAUGGGCUGGGGGCCGAUGGAAGCCCCAGAAACCUGUUUUUCCCUCCGUGGAGCAGAGGGACUGGUUCAGUGGGUGGAGGCCCUGGGACCCUGGGAGGAGCAGCUCGCGGGAGAAGACUUUCUCAUUCCACGGGUGGUUGCUUCUGAGAGUCAACUAUGUCAGCCAGGGACAAAUACAGUCCAACUGGUGCUGUCGCCAGCUUCUCCAGCUCCCACGGACUCCCCCCUGCGGGGAGGAAAAGGAAGGGCCACCCUGGAUGCUUCAGCACCUCUGUCCCUGCCCCUGGCUGG
rnacentral:lncRNA from 1 species